CCUGCGGAGGGAUCAUUACACAAUACAAUAUGAAGGCCGUACGCGGCUGGAUUAUUUUAUUACCCUUGUCUUUUGCGCACUUGUUGUUUCCUGGGCGGGUUCGCCCGCCACCAGGACCACACCAUAAACCUUUUUUAUGCAGUUGCAAUCAGCGUCAGUACAACAAAUGUAAAUCAUUUACAACUUUCAACAACGGAUCUCUUGGUUCUGGCAUCGAUGAAGAACGCAGCGAAAUGCGAUACGUAGUGUGAAUUGCAGAAUUCAGUGAAUCAUCGAAUCUUUGAACGCACAUUGCGCCCUUUGGUAUUCCAAAGGGCAUGCCUGUUCGAGCGUCAUUUGUACCCUCAAGCUUUGCUUGGUGUUGGGCGUUUUUUGUCUUUGGUUGCCAAAGACUCGCCUUAAAACGAUUGGCAGCCGGCCUCCUGGUUUCGCAGCGCAGCACAUUUUUGCGCUUGCAAUCAGCAACAGAGGGCGGCACUCCAUCAAGACUCCAUUUUCACGUUUGACCUCGGAUCAGGUAGGGAUACCCGCUGAACUUAAGCAUAUCAAA
rnacentral:rRNA from 1 species